UACGAAGGGGGCUAGCGUUGCUCGGAAUUACUGGGCGUAAAGCGCACGUAGGCGGCUUCUUUAGUCAGAGGUAAAAGCCCAGGGCUCAACCUUGGAACUGCCUUUGAUACUGGCUAUCUUGAGUACGGGAGAGGUGUGUGGAACUCCGAGUGUAGAGGUGAAAUUCGUAGAUAUUCGGAAGAACACCAGUGGCGAAGGCGACACACUGGCCCGUUACUGACGCUGAGGCGCGAAAGCGUGGGGAGCAAACAGG
rnacentral:rRNA from 1 species